AUUGAACGCUGGCGGCAGGCCUAACACAUGCAAGUCGAGCGGAUGAAGGGAGCUUGCUCCUGGAUUCAGCGGCGGACGGGUGAGUAAUGCCUAGGAAUCUGCCUGGUAGUGGGGGAUAACGUCCGGAAACGGGCGCUAAUACCACAUACGUCCUGAGGGAGAAAGUGGGGGAUCUUCGGACCUCACGCUAUCAGAUGAGCCUAGGUCGGAUUAGCUAGUUGGUGGGGUAAAGGCCUACAAGGCGACGAUCCGUAACUGGUCUGAGAGGAUGAUCAGUCACACUGGAACUGAGACACGGUCCAGACUCCUACGGGAGGCAGCAGUGGGGAAUAUUGGACGAUGGGCGAAAGCCUGAUCCAGCCAUGCCGCGUGUGUGAAGAAGGUCUUCGGAUUGUAAAGCACUUUAAGUUGGGAGGAAGGGCAGUAAGUUAAUACCUUGCUGUUUUGACGUUACCAACAGAAUAAGCACCGGCUAACUUCGUG
rnacentral:rRNA from 1 species